rnacentral:rRNA from 1 species
UGAGUGAAGAAGUAUCUCGGUAUGUAAAGCUCUAUCAGCAGGGAAGAAAAUGACGGUACCUGACUAAGAAGCCCCGGCUAACUACGUGCCAGCAGCCGCGGUAAUACGUAGGGGGCAAGCGUUAUCCGGAUUUACUGGGUGUAAAGGGAGCGUAGACGGCGACGCAAGUCUGGAGUGAAAGCCCGGGGCCCAACCCCGGGACUGCUUUGGAAACUGUGCUGCUGGAGUGCAGGAGAGGUAAGUGGAAUUCCUAGUGUAGCGGUGAAAUGCGUAGAUAUUAGGAGGAACACCAGUGGCGAAGGCGGCUUACUGGACUGUAACUGACGUUGAGGCUCGAAAGCGUGGGGAGCAAACAGGAUUAGAUACCCUGGUAGUCCACGCCGUAAACGA